rnacentral:rRNA from 1 species
GCCCACAGUUGCCAGCGUACUCUCUGGAGUGACGGGUACACUGUGGGGACCGCCGCUGCUAAAGCGGAGGAGGAAUGGGCAACGGUAGGUCAGUAUGCCCCGAAUAUCCCGGGCUACACGCGAGCUACAAUGGUUGGUACAAUGGGUAUCUACCCCGAAAGGGGACGGGAAUACUCCUAAAACCAAUCUUAGUUCGGAUUGAGGGCUGCAACUCGCCCUCAUGAAGCUGGAAUCCGUAGUAAUCGCGUUUCAACAGAACGCGGUGAAUACGUCCCUGCUCCUU